rnacentral:rRNA from 1 species
GAUGAACGCUGGCGGCGUGCCUAAUACAUGCAAGUCGAGCGAAGCGGGGACGGGUGAGUAAAAUGUGGAUAACCUCCUUUAAGACUGGGAUAACUUAGGGGAACCGGUGGUUAUACGGCUAAUUAUCGAAGGAUCCGAGCUGUAUUUGCUAGUUGGUAAGGUAACGGAUUACCAAGGCCACGAUGCAUAGCGGACCUGAGAGGGUGAUCGGCCACACUGGAACUGAGACACGGUCCAGACUCCUACGGGAGGCAGCAGUAGGGAAUCUUCCGCAAUGGGCGAAAGCCUGACGGAGCCACGCCGCGUGAGUGAAGAAGGUCUUCGGAUCGUAAAGCACUUUCAGUAGGGAAGCGGUACCUAAUCAGAAAGCCACGGCUAACUACGUGCCAGCAGCCGCGGUAAUUC